GCCAGCCAGCUAUGGACUGAAACCUCCACAAACUACGCAUUCUCAGUGCCUAGGAGAAGGCCUUAUAAGGAUGAUCAAUAAAGGGCUGUCAAGUGAAUGGCACUAAAGACCCCUGGAGCUGGAAGGGAGCUGGAGAGCAUCUCAACCAGUUUGCUCAAAUGUCAAAGAGCACUGAUGCCCAGACAGGCCAACCCAAGCAGAAUAUGGACACAGAGGAUGGAAGGCAAAUACUAAGAAACAAUAAAAAGACAUUCAACACCAUUAUAGAAUUUCUGUUAUAGUCACCUGAAUUGACUGAUAUGGAUGAGAAAAAUUACCAUACAUUUGUUGGCUGGUGGGAACAACCUCAUAGAAAAGAAAAGAUCUGAUGAUACAGGAGACUGAAAGGAUAAUGGCUGAAUGAUUUGUCACAGCAAAGAAUUGGAAACUGCCUAAAAUGUCCAUCAAGAGAAGAAUAGAUAAGUAAAAUAUGUUAUAUUCAAAGCGAUGUGAUGCAAUGCAGCUGACUCAUUGCCUCUAGGAACAAAUUUCAACAGCAGGAAGAGACUCUACUCUGCACUGCUUACUCAUGCUUAUGCCAAGAACUCCUGUGCUGCAGACCUCAACCCAGAUCACCCAGACCCCUUCUUGUGUGCCAUCUGGCUUCGUGUUACUCAACAAAUACCUGAGACAAUCAGCUUAUAAAGAUAAAGGGGUUAUGUUGGGUCUUAGUUUUGGAAGGUCCAGCCCAUGAGUGGCUGGCUCUGUUGCUUUAGAUCUAUGGCAAGGCAGCUAGGAAAGGAGGGUAUGUGGAGGAAAACAGCUCACUUAAUGUGCAGGAGGCAAAAGGAAAGGAAGAAGAGACUGGGGUUCCACAAUUCCCGGUAACAGCAUCUGCAAAUGAUCUAAGGCCUUAUCCUGUAAAGGCUCUACCACCAUUACUCUCCCAGUAGUGUUGCCCUUGGGGCCAAACUUUAACACACAGACCUUCGGGGGACCCUCAAGACCCAGGGUACCCUCAAACACCUUCACAUAUCAUGCGAUUAUCUCAGUGUUUGGAGCUACUUUGGAAAACUUCUCCUUCUGGCCCUGGUGGGAAAAUCCUGCAUGAUGAUGUAGAGGGUGAUGAUGAUGGUGAAGCUGAUGGUGGUGCUGAAGAUGAUGUGGUGAUGUGAUAAAA